UACGUAGGUGGCAAGCGUUGUUCGGAAUUACUGGGCGUAAAGGGCGCGUAGGCGGCCCGCUAAGUCGAACGUGAAAUCCCCAGGCUCAACCUGGGAACUGCGUCUGAUACUGGAUGGCUUGAAUCCGGGAGAGGGAUGCAGAAUUCCAGGUGUAGCGGUGAAAUGCGUAGAUAUCUGGAGGAAUACCGGUGGCGAAGGCGGCAUCCUGGACCGGCAUUGACGCUGAGGAGCGAAAGCCAGGGGAGCAAAGCGGG
rnacentral:rRNA from 1 species